CCGCCAUUAGCUCAUCCGGAAAGAGCAACAGCUUUCUAAGCUGAAGGUACGUGGUUCAAGUCCUCGAUGGCGGACCA
rnacentral:tRNA from 1 species